CAGGUUCCUGAGGCUGCCAUUCGGAAUCAAUUCAGCUCAAGAUGAAUUCCAAAGGCGCGGCGACGAGAUGUAUGAAGGCCUCCCAGGUGUAGCCACCAUCGUCGACGACAUCCUUGUUUUCAGCAAGACAAAGCUUGAACACGACAACAACCUCAGGGCCAUGCUCAACCUCAGGGAUCUGGAGACCUAUGUCCUCAUUCUGGGACGAAUCGCUGUGGAAAAUGUCAUCAUCAGAGCUGCUGACGUUGAUCUGAAUAUUUUCAAGAAUCGCGGCAUCCCUCCUAGCCAAAAAAAAGCACAACACGGCCAUCAAGAGAAGGAGCCAUUCUACAACCACCAGAGUGGAGGCUUGCUUUGCAGGUAAACCAACCGCCGCCAACACAAAAAG